CUUGUACUCCCUCCGUCCGAAAAUACUUGUCAUUGAAAUGGAUGUAUCUAGAUGUAUUUUAGUUCUAGACACAUCCAUUUUGAUGACAAGUAAUUCCGGACGGAGGGAGUACUUU
rfam:Triticum aestivum genome assembly, contig: Triticum_aestivum_CS42_TGACv1_scaffold_557433_7AL